rnacentral:rRNA from 1 species
AUGACUCGUUGCAAUAAAGGUUCUGUUAUUGGGAUGACUGGCCCUAAGCGAUACAUCGCAACGCUAGCCCCUGUUCUAGUUGAGUUUGAUAUGAGGAUCAAGAAAGGAGAGCAAGAAGAGGAUGAUCUACAACUAAUUGAUGGUGCAAUAGAGUACGACAAUCUAUGCACAUCUGAAUACCCAUUCACAGAUCGUAUUAAUGGCGAUUGUGGCACGGUUGACAUCACUUUAGCCCUCGUUCGUUGGGCAUUUGAGGCCACAAUAGAUGUUACCGUAUCAAAAGUGCAGAGUAGAUUCGAUUUAUCUCUCAGUUCGUUUGUUUUUAUUAUGGAUGGGUUACAUGAGAUUCAGCUCUUUCGUGGCAAUAUUGGUGAGUCGUGUGGCUUAAGAAGACAUGUGAUCGCUGUAAAGGAGGAUACUUGGAUGCAUUUGAAGUUCAAGGUAGGUCAGAGAAGUUGUAAAAAUGAUGGUGAUCUUGAUUGCCAUUGUUCCUUCAAAGCAAAAAAAACAUGGGUAUAA